rnacentral:tRNA from 1 species
GGUUGAAAUACAACGAUGGUUUUUUCGAUAUCAAAAAUU